AAAUAUUAAGAAUCACUGAUAAUAAUAUAAUCACUUUGAUUAUAUGUGAAUGUGUGAAUGACUGGGUGUGUGUGUAUGUAUGAUGUAAAGUUUGUAUAGCUCCCUGACAAUUUUUAGACAUAUGAAUUAAACCAUUUCAUCUUUACGUGUUGUAACCCUGAUCAGAGUUCCUUUGCACAACAUUAUACUUUACUUUUAUAGAAUAUACUAGGGACAGUCAACCCAGAAUGGCAGCAAGUAGAUGAUUUUUAUGCCAGGGAGGUAGUUGCUCAACAGGUAAAGCUCUUGGUGCAUUCGUGGAAUAGGCAAAGUGAUUUUGGGCUGCUUUCUUCUUUGUUCCAUCCAUUUUUGCUAUUGAUCUUUUGUCCCCCUAGAUCCCAAAGUCUCUGCACUAAUAUUUAUUUCUAGCCUACCUUCUAAAAUGUUAUGAUUGCUUCACUUUUUAUUUAUUUCACCAACAGUUCUUCCUUUACUAGAAUAUCUUUUAUGUUUUAUUUAAGUCUGAAUAAAGUAAUUUUUCUAAAUGCUAAUGUAAAGAAUCUGGGUUGUGGGGGGGAUGGAAUUUUAUUUUUUCCUUAAGAUAAUAAUUCUUUUUCUCAUGAUUAUUGAAGUAUUAUGUAUACAUUAAAGAUUUAAGGAAGUAUAAGGAAGAAGAUAGUAAUGAUUAUCUUCAUAUUAUCAUUCCAGUCAGAAGUUAGCUACUUCUAAAAUGUUGUGUUUCCACUCUGUAGUUUUGCAUAGAUAUUAGCAUUUAAAAGUGAAACUUGAGGUAUCUCUCAUUGGAAGAAUGGGAAAAGAGUAGACUUUUUACCAUUUUAGGACCCUCUCAUGACCAUUCUCACCUCAUCUUGGUCCUCUAAGUCUCUGAGAAGUCCUCCAGUCUCUGAGAAGGCUCCAGUUUGUUUUGUCUUAUUUAAUUGAGCAGUUCUGAGUCUUAUUUUUACCAGGGAACUUUGUUUUUCAAUUUUAAUAUAGUGUGGAGAUGUGCUGUUAUGUAGGAGUUUGCUAUCAAAGUGUGGUCCACAGACCAGUGGCGUUAGCAUCACCUGGGAGCUUGUUAGAAACGUACAAUCUCAGGCCUUACUGAGGACUUACUGAAUCAGAACCUGCACUUUAAUAGGAUCUUUGGGUUAUUUAUAUGCACAUUAAAGUUUGAGAAACACUGCUCUCUUUUUUCCAGAUAAGAUAAUGAGGUGGACAGGGGUCUGAAGUUUUCAUCCCACUUAGAGCUGCUUUUUCCAAAGAGCUUUUCCCUCACGUUUUUGUGUGUGCAUGUGUGUGUGCAGGCAGGGUUGUAUGUAUAGGUAUGUGCUUGGCAUGCAUAUGUGUACAGGAAUGUGGGUAUGUGGGCAUCUCUCUGUGUCUAUAUCUCUGGUCCCCCUUUCUGUUUAGCAGAUACUUCUUUGAAUGAGCUUAAUGAACUCUCAUAUCCAAAAAUACUUUCUCUGUUAUACCUCCUAUCUCUUACCGCUGCUCCCAAUAUCUGUACACAGCUGUACAUUCCUUCAACCAGCUCAUCGAAGGACAUGUUUGGGAAGCCUCCUGUGAAAGAGCAGGCUUCAGGAAAUAAGAGGGUAAAGAGGAGAGAGGUUUGCCUGUUAGAAUCAAGUAACAAGCUUUUUGGGGUAGAAGAGACCUGACUUUCCCUCAGGAGGGCCCAGUGGUUUCAAAUUGUGUUGACUGGAUCCCUGUGGUUUCAUGGAAUUGGCUCAGUGGGAGCAAGCAAGUGGGGCUCUGUGGUUGCCCACUUCACACUUCACUUCAUCCAGAUCAUUUAUACUAUUAUAUAUUUUAUUAGGAUUUCUCUUAAUUUUUAUUUUAUGUGUUUUGCAAAACAUUUUUUGUGGAAAAUCACUGCCCUGUUUUACCACUCAAAUUCUGUUCAUCUCAGGCUAGGUUAAUUGUGACUGGACUACCUACCGUCACAUUUCAAAAAGAAGAGCUAUUAGUGAGUUUUGUAGGGUGGCAGGAGAGAUUUGAAGCUUUCUUUCUUGAAAGCCCUUUCUCUUUCCCUCCUUCCCUAUAUCUUUCCUUUUCUCCCCCUACUCAUCUUCUUAGACACAUUUGUUCUGUUUAAGGACCAAAAUUAGUAAGGCUCAGAGCUGCGUAAUCGACUGAUUAAAUUAGUAAUGAGUACUAUAACUUACAGAUGAAACAUUUGUUAAAUUUAUAAUGCUGUCAAAUAAUACAUUUUGAUAACAUUUAAUAAGAUUAUUUUGGGAGACAACCAUAAUCCCAAAAGAUACGGUCCUGAAUGCCAUAAUCUCAAAUGUUGAAAUCUUGAAAAAUCAACAUCCUUAAAGUCUAAAAUCCCCCAAAUCACAAUCCUAAAAGGUCAAAAUCCCAAAAAUGUAUUCUGGAAAAAAUAAUACAUUUUUUAAAAGACACAUAGAUUUUAAAAAGGGGAUUUAUUUGAGAAACAGAUAAAAACAGAACAAUUCAUAGGCCAUUUUAUGCAGUAAAAUAGGCAAAACAUUUUUGCAAGCAUAGAUACUCAGGUAUACUAACAGUCAUGCAGAUACAACAGUUAAAAGCAGGCAAACCAUAUUCAUAAGUCAAAAAGGGAAAUGUAUAAAUGCAUAUCACUGUGGUUGGUAAUUGUGUGCACCCAGCUUUAUAACUGCAGUAAUCUGAAAUACCGUGAAAUACCUAAGCCUUGAUGACAUCGAUAAUCAUCAAUGUGUGUGUGUGUGUGUGUGUGUGUGUGUUUCCUAGUGGCCUCAUGUAGACUGUCACAUAAAAAUUUGGACCUUACCAGUAAGUUUUAACGUCUAGAAAGUACUUUGGUAGUGUAAUAGGAGUAAGCAGUAUAUAUAGACUUAAGAAUUAAGCAGGUGAAAGCAGAAUUUUUUACUGUUUUCCAUAGUUAAAUAAUACAUCUGUUUUCAAGGUUGGGAUUGUCUGAGCAUGGUCGUGGUUUGUUUUAGGCCACUGUGCCCUUUUAUGUAUUAUGCUGUUUCUUCGGCCCUCCACUUCCCCAUCCUCCACAAUUUCAUGGUCUUUAUGAUCAUUCAGGCUUCAUCUCUGAAGGCUAAGCAUUCCCUUGUCUCUAGGUCAGAAUGAAUGUCCUCUCAAUUACUCUUAAAGCAUUCUAUGCUAAAAGUGAUGAUGUAUUUACACAGUGUAUUGAAAAUAUUUUGUGUUUGUUUCUUUCCUUCCUGAGGGCCAUACCAUUGGUCCAUUAUCACAUUUCAGUUUAAAUUCCCUCCUUGACAUUCAUAUUCAUGUGGUUUUUUGGUCGUAAUUAAAUAUAAGUGAUGAAAUGAAUUUAGCACAUUUCUUAGUUAAUAAUAAGGAUAAUUGUAAUAAUAUUAAAAUUCUCAAUGCCUAUCACAAUGCCUUGUGUAGGUACUGAUAAUACUUAAAUGAACUGCAAAAGGCCCUUUAUUAUAUAUCUGAUUCUGUUGCUGCUUUAAACUGCUUUCCACUGCUUGUUUUUUUAAGGAAUAUUUAUGUAAUUUCAUAUUUUUGUGAGUUAGUUGGAAUAUGUUUAAUUAUACCCAUUUUACUGGAUAGAAGAACUUACGUCGGUCUAAGCUACCUGCAUGUUCAAUUAUCAGCAGUUUUAAAAAUGUUUUCUUUUACCAUCAAUAUAAUGCAUGAUGGAAACCACAGCUGAUAGAUUUUAUUCUCUCUUGUGUCAUGCUUGCUUACUUGCUGAAUCUUAACUAGAGGCAGAGAAACCAUUUAGUGGCAGCCAUUUUGAUAGUCUAGGCAAGAGGCACUAAUGUCCUGAACAAGGGGGAUGCCAGAUAGGAGAGAGAAAUGAAUGUAUAGAUGUGUUUAGGAGAGAUCUGUAGGACUUGAUGGUUGAUUGGAUAUGGUUGUGGGAGGGAGGAAGUUGGGUUGUAGUGAAGGGGAGGUAUCAAGGAUGAAUCUUAGGAUUCUGGCUUAAGCAAUUGAGUGAGUGGUGUGUGUUCUCACUGAGAUAGCAAAUAGGAAGACAGGUUUAGGGGAAGGUAAUAGUUUACCUAUAGAUUUGUUGAAUUUGGGGUGCCUGGGGAAAAUCUGAGAGGGAAGAUCUGUGAAGCAGUUUGGAUAUGUUGGGUAAGGCUUAGGAAGGAGGAAAGGGCUGUAAAGACAUAUUUGAUAGUCAUUAGUACACAUGAUUUGAGUUGAAGCUGUAGAAGCAGAUAAGACAGAUGAGGGAGGGAAUAGAUUGCAUACCAUGAGAAAAGAGACCUAGGAGAGACUUUUGAGGAACAUCUUUAUUUUUUUACAGUGAUAGGAGAAGAGCAUCCCACAAAGAAGAAGAAAGAAAUGGAGAAGGAAAAGAAAAUCAAUAGGGAGUAAGAAAGCCGGGAGAGUGUAACAAUACAGAAACAGAAGGAAGAGGAUAUUUUCAAAAAGAGGGGGGUCAUUAAUAUACACACAAUGAAGACUUUUUAAGAAGCCUGCAGUCAUCUUAGGGCUCAACUGAGGAAGGAUCCGUUUGCAAGCUCACUCAUGUGGUUGUCAGCAGACCUUAGAACACCUGCUUCCACAUUAACUCACAGAUCCACAUUGUUUGAAGUUAUUGUGAGUGCCUCGAAGACCAAGGAACCGUUGAAAUUUCCAAUUUCAGGAAGUUCCAGUGGAUGCCCAUCAGGAAGAUUCUCAUGCUGGACAGAAGGGCAAGAGAGGUGGAUCUGUGAGGGAAAAGACCCAAUAGGAUAACUCAAGUUACUGAGAUAACAGGAAGAGAGCCUGGUUACCAUUGGGUGGAACAAUCCUGCCGGCUCAAGCCUCUGCCUAGAAAUUUGGGUCAUUCUCUUUUUUGGACAGUCUGGAAACCUCGACCUGUCUCCCAGUUGGUUGCACAGCAGGUUACUCAGCAGUUUGUGCCUCCUACACAGUCAAAGAAAGAGAAAAAAGAUAAAGUAGAAAAAGAAAAAAAUGAAAAGGAAACAACUAGCAAAAAGAAUAGCCAUAAGAAAACCAGACCAAGAUUGAAAAAUGUGGAUCGGAGUAGUGCUCAGCAUUUGGAAGUUACCGUUGGAGAUCUGACAGUCAUUAUUACAGACUUUAAGGAGAAAACAAAGUCACCACCUGCAUCUAGUGCUGCUUCUGCAGAUCAACACAGUCAAAGCGGCUCUAGCUCUGAUAACACAGAGAGAGGAAUGUCCAGGUCAUCUUCACCCAGAGGAGAAGCCUCAUCAUUGAAUGGAGAAUCUCAU